rnacentral:rRNA from 1 species
GCCCGGUGCUGGAAGGUUAAGAGGAGUGCUUAGCUUCGGCGAAGGUACGAAUUGAAGCCCCAGUAAACGGCGGCCGUAACUAUAACGGUCCUAAGGUAGCGAAAUUCCUUGUCGGGUAAGUUCCGACCCGCACGAAAGGCGCAACGAUCUGGGCACUGUCUCAACGAGAGACUCGGUGAAAUUAUAGUACCUGUGAAGAUGCAGGUUACCCGCGACAGGACGGAAAGACCCCGUGGAGCUUUACUGCAACCUGAUAUGGAAUGUUUGUACCGCUUGUACAGGAUAGGUAGGAGCCGAAGAGACGUGUGCGCUAGCAUACGAGGAGGCAAUGGUGGGAUACUACCCUGGCUGUAUGACCAUUCUAACCCGCCACGCUUAGCGCGUGGGGAGACAGUGUCAGGUGGGCAGUUUGACUGGGGCGGUCGCCUCCUAAAGAGUAACGGAGGCGCCCAAAGGUUCCCUCAGAAUGGAUGGAAAUCAUUCGCAGAGUGUAAAGGCAC